UUUUACCGUUGUGGAGCGUAAAAGCUAAGGCUGUAAAUAUUUGUUUUGGGCAGAUUGAUGGUAUCAAGUGGAAACUCCACAGUGGAAGACGAUCCAUCGUCACCAGAUGAUCUGUUCUCCCACUGGGUUCGAGUAGCAGCCGCUCCCUGUGUUGAACAACAGUUACUUGACUCCAGCCUUUGGUUUGGGACUGUUGAACUGCCAGUUAGAAGAGCUGCCGUGGCUUUCUGGAAAGCUUCGAGAGCUGUGGAGCUGCCCAUUUGGAUUGGUGAGUUGUCAUUUUUACCCACCUACUGAAAAGCUC
rnacentral:lncRNA from 1 species